rnacentral:rRNA from 1 species
GAUGAACGCUAGCGAUAGGCCUAACACAUGCAAGUCGAGGGGCAUCACAUGAAGUAGCAAUACGGAUGGUGGCGACCGGCGCACGGGUGAGUAACACGUAUGCAACCUGCCUUCAACAAGGGGAUAACCCGUUGAAAGACGGACUAAUACCCUAUAACACAGGGGUCCCGCAUGGGAAUAUUUGUUAAAGGACAACCGGUUGAAGAUGGGCAUGCGUUCCAUUAGCUAGUUGGCGGGGUAACGGCCACCAAGGCAACGAUGGAUAGGGGAACUGAGAGGUUUAUCCCCCAACUGGUACUGAGACACGGACCAGACUCCUACGGGAGGCAGCAGUGAGGAAUAUUGGUCAAUGGACGCAAGUCUGAACCAGCCACGUCGCGUGAAGGAAGACGGCCCUACGGGUUGUAAACUUCUUUUAUACGAGAAUAAAGUGCCCCACGCGUGGGGUUUUGCAUGUACCGUAUGAAUAAGGAUCGGCUAACU